rnacentral:rRNA from 1 species
UGCAGUCGAGCGAACUGAUUAGAAGCUUGCUUCUAUGACGUUAGCGGCGGACGGGUGAGUAACACGUGGGCAACCUGCCUGUAAGACUGGGAUAACUUCGGGAAACCGAAGCUAAUACCGGAUAGGAUCUUCUCCUUCAUGGGAGAUGAUUGAAAGAUGGUUUCGGCUAUCACUUACAGAUGGGCCCGCGGUGCAUUAGCUAGUUGGUGAGGUAACGGCUCACCAAGGCAACGAUGCAUAGCCGACCUGAGAGGGUGAUCGGCCACACUGGGACUGAGACACGGCCCAGACUCCUACGGGAGGCAGCAGUAGGGAAUCUUCCGCAAUGGACGAAAGUCUGACGGAGCAACGCCGCGUGAGUGAUGAAGGCUUUCGGGUCGUAAAACUCUGUUGUUAGGGAAGAACAAGUACAAGAGUAACUGCUUGUACCUUGACGGUACCUAACCAGAAAGCCACGGCUAACUACGUGCCAG